GUGUGUGCGCCACCAGCCCCCACAACGGUGGGAGAGGAGGAGACAGCUGUAAGCGUGAGCGAUCUCAUUUCCCCCUCCCUCCGUCUUCCCCCCUCCUUCUCCCGUGCUCAUGCUUCUUCUCCUUCAUUGCCACGGCCAUCAGGACCCGUCCUCCCUGCCUCUCCUUCGCUCUGCUUGGUUAUGCAAUGCACAUUCCUCCCACGGUGACUAACUGGUGCUGGAGACCACUGGCGGCGGGGGCAGACCUGUGGUGGCACAGCGACUGCCGAUCAGACUCCCUCUGAAUGGGAAUUUUUUCAACGUUUCUCUGGAAUAUCACCUUCCAGACUGGUCUGAUGUGAGAUCAUCUCUCCCUGCAGACGUCGGCAUCGGCUCUGUAAAUAGCGUCUCUUUUCUGAAAAGCUCUCGUUCUGAUGCCCAGAGGAGUCCAGAGGUAGUGGAGGUGUGCUGAGCAACCAGAGGAGGGGUGUAGAUUUAAGGAUACGAAGUGGAGGGAGGUGGUGUAGUUGUAUUGGAUGGAAGGAAAGACGGAUGGUGUUUGACCGUUAAACAGAGGGAAGUUGAUCAGAAGGAAAGUUGGGGUGAGGGUGGGGUAGACUGCUGAACUUAACAGGUGAUUCAGAUCAACGAUAGGACUGAGAAAGUGGUGAGCUGCCUUCUUUUCUCUCUCUCCAACACUUUGUUUGAUGCUCGCACCACCGGGACUAUAACUACAAGCUCACCCCCACCUCCUCUCCUGGAUCUCCACAUGUAGGAUGUCUUUAAAGCCACUGUCCUCCUACGAGGAUCUGAAGAGCAUGCCAGAUGGUGUCAUACACCUGAAACAGCUUCAAAUGAAUGUCCCGUUGCCAGGUUAGGUGAGAAUCAGGAUCAUGGGCACCACCGUCAUAACCCUUGAUGAUGUGCGGGCACUGGAGGCCAAGGAGGAGCAGGAAGAGUCCAUCUUAGCCUUGUUAGGCAUCAUUGGCACGUUCCUUAACCUCUUUGUGAUUGUAUUUGUUUACAUCUACACCACACUGUGACGUCCACAGCUGGAGGUAAACCCUGCCAUCAGGGAAGACUUGGAAUGGAGCAGAAGGGAAGGAGUUGGACAUGAACAUCUACUCCACAGAGAGGAGGAGGACGGGGGACAGAGUGAGUGAGGAUCAGGAAGAAGCCAUAUUUCUACAUCACAGCUACGUUCCAGGGAGAUAACAAAGGGCUGGAUAAAAACUUGCCACACCCCUGAAAUUUUGGGACCAACAGGAAUGAAUCUUUAAUUUUCUGUGAUCUAACUGUGAAGGUGGUGGGAAUGCCAGCGAUGUACAGCUUGUAAAAAUUGAGCUUGGAAACGUCCCGGGGACAAUGUUGGCCACCAAUCCGCCUGCAGGGCCAGAAACAUGAGGACGUCAGAGGCCCUGGAAAACCUUCCUGUGCAGCGUCUGAGGCCCCUGCCAUGCCCAGAACGACACAAACAUUGAUGUGUUCCCGAUUAAGACAAGACAAGAUAGAACCUAAUUAAACGAAAUAAACUUGACUGAACAUGAAACUGGGAAGACGUUCCACUUUCUUUGUCCAUGAAGAGUGGUGGAUUUCUCUAUUUAUCUGUGUUGACUUCAGGGUAGUGUCAGCAAUCCUUUCCUUGUAUUCAAAAUGUUUUUUACAAAUAUUUGAAUAAAGUUGCGAUGUACUGUG